CUGCAGCCUCCUUUCCCCGCUGUGGCUACCUGACACCGCUUUAGGCUUUGUUCCUGCACCACUGGAACUCCGUGGCAAAAUCAGAUCCAACUUCAGGCUCCUGACCUGGAAAAUGAUACGAUACCACAACGCUGCGUCACCUUCCUCCAGACACAGAGUUCAUCAUGUGUUAGAAGUUCCCAUCCACCCACAUCAUCGCUUUUUGAGGAAACAGGACUUCUGUCUGGAUUAUUCCAUCUUUAUAUUGUCCUUCUUCAUUGCCUUGCCAUUACCUAGGACACACCGGAAGUAACCAAGGCAUACGGGGCUGAAAUUAAAGCUCAAGUCAUACAGUUACUAAAUGGGUUCCCCACUGACCAGAUCCAACCACAACAGCAGGUACUGGAGUCCAUGACUCAUUGCCUACCAGCCAGCCCCACCGCACACAGCAAGCUUGAGAGAGGACCUGAGAGGCAAUGGAAGAGACCCAUGACAUGUUCCCAGCCCCCAGCUGGAAAGGACUCUGGGAUCCUGACCUGAGCUGAAGGCAGAAGCUUAAUUGACUGAACCACCCAGGCGCCCCGCCCCCACCCUCCAACUUCCUGUAGGAUAAUGGGGAGCACCAGCAGGAGACUGGAAGGGGGAAUGGAGAAGACUGGCCAGCAAAUUUGCUUCCCUGCCAGGUGGCUGCCAGUUUGCCACUAAGAGCCCCGGGGCCCCUGUCAGGCAGCCUGUCCAUUCAACGCCCUUCUCUGAGUUACGGAUGGCAAACACGGAUGGCCCCGGUGUGACUGGCCCCAGGCUAUUGUGCUCUCCUUGGUUCCCCUCAUCUUUCUAAGAGGU